rnacentral:tRNA from 2 species
AGCAUGUUAGCUCAGGGGAAGAGCGCCGGGCUCAUAACCCGGAGGUACGUUUUCACUCACUAUCCAAUCACAAUUCAAAUUCCCUAACAAACAAUAGGUCCCUGGAUCGAAACCAGGACAUGCUA